AUGGAAUGUAAGGCCCUUCUCUGACCAUGUGCCAAAUCUGCUGCGUGUUUCUACCCAACAUCCUGCUGCACAGGAGCUCACUGCCUUUCCUUGUAGAUGACCUGGAGGGCAGGACCAUGAUCAGCCUCCACAGCACACUGUGUGCUGGCUACUUCUGUACAAUGCAAACUUAGAGGGACACAGCUUUGUUCAGAGCAUCAGCAACCACCCUCCCUUCUUCACCAGCGAUAAAGCAGAAAGCAGUUCACCUGAGUUGGAGAUAAUGCACUUCUUUAGAUACUCCAGUAAGCUGUAUUGUUAUAGCUCUCUUCAAACUAAGUUACAUCUUGUCUCAUCAGGACAGUUUAACUGUUGGCUGGUUGCAGCUGAGAGGUUCUGAGGCUUGAUACUUCAAGUUUUCCAGAGGAUGAAUGUUCUCCUGAAUGCUCCUUUUACUUCUGCAAAUGACCUCUACCAAGAAAUACAGUGUGUUCAGACACGAUCUAUAAUUAGCCCAUCUGCCCUCUGUUGAAGACCACACUCCAGAGAACUU